rnacentral:rRNA from 1 species
GACGAACGCUGGCGGCGUGCUUAACACAUGCAAGUCGAACGAAGUGGCGAACGGGUGAAUAACGCGUAAUCACCCUGCCCUUCAGAGGGGGACAACAGUUGGAAACGACUGCUAAUACCGCAUACUGUAGGAGGGGAUGGCGUCUGAUUAGCUAGUUGGAGGGGUAACGACCCACCAAGGCGAUGAUCAGUAGCCGGGCUUAGAGGAUGAACGGCAACAUUGGGACUGAGACACGGCCCAGACUCGUACGGGAGGCAGCAGUGGGGAAUCUUCCGCAAUGGACGAAAGUCUGACGGAGCAACGCGGCGGUAGUGAUGACGGCCUUCGGGUUGUAAAGCUCUGGUAUUUGGGACACGGUGCCUAACUAGAAAGCCACGGCUAACUACGUGCCAGCAGCCGCGGUAAUUC